GGCAGCACGAUGUAGCAAUACAUUGGUGGCGACCGGCGCACGGGUGAGUAACGCGUAUGCAACCUACCUAUCAGAGGGGAAUAACCCGGCGAAAGUCGGACUAAUACCGCAUAAAACAGGGGUUCCACAUGGAAAUAUUUGUUAAAGAAUUAUCGCUGAUAGAUGGGCAUGCGUUCCAUUAGAUAGUUGGUGAGGUAACGGCUCACCAAGUCCACGAUGGAUAGGGGUUCUGAGAGGAAGGUCCCCCACACUGGUACUGAGACACGGACCAGACUCCUACGGGAGGCAGCAGUGAGGAAUAUUGGUCAAUGGGCGAGAGCCUGAACCAGCCAAGUCGCGUGAAGGAUGAAGGAUCUAUGGUUUGCAAACUUCUUUUAUAUGGGAAUAAAGUGAGGAACGUGUUCCUUUUUGUAUGUACCAUAUGAAUAAGCAUCGGCUAACUCCGUGCCAGCAGCCGCGGUAAUACGGAGGAUGCGAGCGUUAUCCGGAUUUAUUGGGUUUAAAGGGUGCGUAGGUGGUUAAUUAAGUCAGCGGUGAAAGUUUGUGGCUCAACCAUAAAAUUGCCGUUGAAACUGGUUGACUUGAGUAUAUUUGAGGUAGGCGGAAUGCGUGGUGUAGCGGUGAAAUGCAUAGAUAUCACGCAGAACUCCGAUUGCGAAGGCAGCUUACUAAACUAUAACUGACACUGAAGCACGAAAGCGUGGGGAUCAAAC
rnacentral:rRNA from 1 species